GGAACGGGGAUGGGAAUGGGUUCAACAGCAGCCAGAAUUGGAUCAAUCAUAAUGCCAUGGACUUUGGAAUUGCAACGUUCUGUACCUUGGCUUACGCAAACGAUAUUCGGAAGUCUUUCUGUCCUAGCUGGUGUUUUAUCUUUAUUGUUGCCUGAAACAAGAGAUGCCGAUUUAAAACAAGUAUGGAUGAGCGGAAGAAUUUUUAUAGAAGCAACAUGACGCUAGCUUCGAGAUUCAUCGGAAAACGUAUUUUGAGUCGGAUCUCUGCCGACGAAGAUACAAAGCUGAACAUUGAAACGGGAUCAAUGCUUGAAGAGAACAUGGACACGUAUGAAUCAGCCGAGACUAAAAACUGACACAACCAAUUUACCUGUGUAUAUCGCUUCAUCAUCGUAAAAUCUCAUUAGAUAAAUAAAUUAGAUAAAUAAUUACAGAGGAAAAUCAAUAUUUGUGAAUUUGACGCCGACAUUUUCAUGUAGACGCAUUAAGCGAGAAGUCAUCUGAAACAAGGAAUCCUCCUGAACCGGAAAAAUUCCUAAAGUUUUUGAUAGCUCAUUAAACAAACUUUCAAAAUUAAAAAAACGGGAAAUAAAUUUUGAUAGCGAAAUCUAUCUAAUAUGGGGAGAUGAUUUGAAACUAAUCAUAAACCAUGCAACCAAUAGAUAACCACGAAGUAAAAGGUUCAAGUAAUGAUAUAUUAAAUACACGAACAUACUUGCAAUGCUAUUUGUCGUUUUCCACCUUCAUUUCUAGUUUUCCGUGAAGUUGGUGUUGAAAUGGUCAAAAUUAGAAGGAGAAAUGAAUAUUGUAUCCUACUGCGUGUACCGUUUGUUAAUUUUAUGGUUAAUUUUUAUGAUUUACUGCGUGUACCGUUUGUUAAUUUUAUGGUUAAUUUUUAUGAUAUUUCAUAAAUGAAUUACAUUUAUUUAAAAAUUGAAAACAAACUGUCAGAUGAGUCAGUACGUGCAUCCAGCAGUAAAAUGGGAAAAUAUUGCAAAAAUUAUUAGCGCGGAAGUAUAAAAAAUAAACAAAUCGAAACCGAGGAACCUCGUGUGCAUCCCUAUUCCUUAAUAUUUUAAAAUACUAAAGGUUCAUUUCAAUCUGGUAUAUAUACUUGGUUUCAUUUUUAGAUAGAUGAUUAUAUUUCUAACGUUCAUUGAAUAAAUUUCGAUAAUGAGCACGACUCAAAUCACAUAAAUUUCUCUUACUGAGUAAAUUUGAAUCUCAUACAUGGCGGUUGUUAAUUUAUCCCGUCCAAAACAAUUUUCAGUCUAGUACUGAAUAAGACAAACCGAACCAAUCCCAUGGAAAACGUUUCGUAUCCUAUAGCAGAAAAACGAUAUGAGGUGUAUGACGUAAAAUGAUGUUGGAUUAACAUAUAGUCACAUAUGGAAUUAUAAUUUGAUUCUUAAUAUUGAUUAAAGAAAUAGCCCCUAAACAAUUAUUUCAUUUCUGAUCGCUCUUGUUUUUUGUUAAUCUUGAAUAGUUAAAAAUAGUUACCAUACAUUAGGAUUUAUGAAGUCUCGACCCUAUGUGAAUAGCUAGCGCCACAAAUUCUAAAAAAUAUAGGAUCGAAUACCAAAAAAUAAAUUCCGUGAUAACCCAUCUUUAAAUAAUACAUUUUUUUCCGAGCUCUAGUGAUCGCUUGCCAUUUGUUGAUCAAUCCUAUUUUAAUUUUGUGUGAAAUUUGUGACAAACGCUAACCAAAUUUAAAGAGUUUAUGAAUUGAGAAUGGUUUGGCUGAACUGCAUAUUUUGCGUUGGAGUUAAAUAUUCAAUAUAUAUAUAUAUCAAGUCAAUGGACAAUAUAUCAACAUUUCAGGAAUCAAGCAAACAACCAAACUGCAGUCUUUAGCGGCAUGCCAAUUUAAUAGACUUUCUAGAAAACCAAAAAGUAAUAAAAUUCUGACACAAAACGAGGUAUCUGGACCAGGACCUCCUACGACCUGACAGGACUAACUCAACUUCAACUCUUCAAGUUUAACGUCCGAGUUCACGGCUCGUGUAUUUUUAUUUUUUGAGCAUCAACCCCCAAAUUUUUCGUGUCUCAUUAUCAAGGUAUUCCUACAACUAAAUGUUGAUACGCAUUUGAGCAGAUACGCAAGAAGAUACGCAAUCCGCCUCAGAGAAAUUCAAAAUCAGCAGGACAACUUCAUAUUAUACCUGGAUUUUCAAAUUUGUUUACCGACUUCGACAAAGCACUCUAUACGCAGGAAUUAAAAUUGAUAUUAUACCAAAUCAAUUUUGCCGCGCAUGGAAUAUACGCAAGCCGUUUUCUUAUAUCAAGGGACCCUACUAAAAAGGUAGGUAUCAUAGAUAUCACAGGUAUCAUAGGUAUCACUCCAUAAAAAGAUAGGUAUCAGUAGUAAAUGACUAAAAAGGUAGGUAUCAGUAGUAGAUGACUAAAAAGGUAGGUAUCAGUAGUAAAUAACUAAAAAGGUAGGUAUCAGUAGUAGAUGACUAA